GUCAUGUAAAUAAUGCUCAUCAGUGCACGGUCAUUCUUCAAUAUCAUUAUUUUACUGUGAAAAUGAGUGAAUACAAUGAUUACAGUGAUAUUUUAGUAGAAGUUCCUGACGAAGACCUUGAAGAAUUGGCCGACAUAUACAGGAGCCGUAGUUAUAUGCCCCAUGCAAGUAGUCUUUUGAAAAAUGGCCACAGAUUGAGAAGACAAGGGUGCUUUUUCAUUCAAUUUCUAUCUCCGCGAAAUUGUUGGAAAAAAGAUGGAACUUUUUUCGCUUUGAUGGAGUUUCCACCGUUAUAUCAACUACCAAUCUUUACGAUGGACGAGAGUGGUGAAAGUGUAUAUCAGGGUCUAAUGAAUACGAA